rnacentral:sRNA from 10 species
AAUGCUUAUUUUGUUCUGAGGGAUUUGGUAAUUGAACUUUUUCUUCGUGGAGUUCAAAGGCGGAUCCCUAUUGUUAUAAAGCAUGGGUUUGUCUUUUAGGUCAACAGUUGUCAGAAAAAGGCAUCAUAAUGGCAUGCGCAGAGUACAUAUAAAGCUGUUGAGAAAUAGGAGAGAGAUUCAGAUAAAGCAAACGUGCUGCGACAUUGCCAAGGUUCUUGGGACUGGUCAAGAAGCUACUGCUCGAAUUUAGGUGGAGCAUAUACUAAGGGAAGAGAAUAUGAUGGCUGCACAAGAGAUCCUUGACCUGUUUUUAUCACUGACUCAUCCUUUCUUCUCUAUUCAACUUUUGUAAUUGACGCUGGACAUGGUUUUAACAAAGAUAAGUUGCGCAAUAAAUCCUUUAUAAUCUCUUCAUUUUCAUCAUGUGCAUGCUCGAUUCUUUCUUCAGCAAGAGCUUUAAAGCCGCUAAAGGAUGAAGUUGUUGAGAAAUAGGGGAGACAUCCAAAUAAAGCCAAUGCGCGACGACAUUGCCAAGCUUCUUGAGACUGGUCUAGAAGCUACUGUUCGAAUUUUGUUAGGAAUAUGCUAUGCUUGGAUCUACAUUUAAGGUGGAACAUAUAAUAAGGGAAGAGAAUAUGAUGGCUGCACUGAAGAUCCUUGAGCUGUUUUGUGAGCUUAUUUUUGUUCAUCUUCCUAUCAUCGAGACUCAAGAAUUUUGCAAUGCAGGUAGGUGGGCAAUGUCAACUUUGCAUCAAAUUUUGGUUGAAGAAUGGGGUCGAACUUUUGUACAAGGGGUUUGGAGGGCUAAUGGGGAAAUCACUACUUCAAUUCCAAUUCACCAAAGGAGAUGUUCUUUCACCUCUCAAGAGGAAGAUUUGUGUUGGUU